rnacentral:rRNA from 1 species
UCCCUCAGUAACUGCGAGUGAAGCUGGAAAAGCUAGAUGAAAAUCUUCGGAAUUGUAGUCUGGAGAAGUAUGGUCAGCCGAUGAUGAUGAGUGAAGUCUUCUGGAAAGGAGCGCCUUGGAGGGUGAUAGCCCCGUUCAUACUUAUCAUUAGAAGCGUACGACCUGCUUUCUACGAGUCGUGUUGUUUGGGACUGCAGCACUAAGUGGGUGGUAAAUUCCAUCUAAAGCUAAAUAUUGGUGGGAGACCGAUAGCGAACAAGUACCGUGAGGGAAAGAUGCAAAGAACUUUGAAAAGAGAGUUAAAUAGUACCUGAAAUUGCUGAAAUGGAACCGAUGGGAAGCAGUGUCGGUGGCGGGUAUUUAUACCUGUCACAAGCCAGGCUUCUUUUCUAGUGCGGGAAAGGCUGAUAAACUAGUUUAGGUUAUCUACGCCGUCGUGCUGGCGAAGGACUCUGACGAAAUGCUUCUCAUCACCCCGUCUUGAAA